rnacentral:rRNA from 1 species
GACAGAGGGUGCAAACGUUGCUCGGAAUCACUGGGCGUAAAGGGCGUGUAGGCGGGAAGGAAAGUCAGAUGUGAAAGCCCUGGGCUCAACCCAGGAACUGCAUUUGAAACUCCCUUUCUUGAGUGUCGGAGAGGAAAGCGGAAUUCCUGGUGUAGAGGUGAAAUUCGUAGAUAUCAGGAGGAACACCGGUGGCGAAGGCGGCUUUCUGGACGACAACUGACGCUGAGACGCGAAAGCGUGGGGAGCAGACAGG